rnacentral:rRNA from 1 species
UACAGAGGGUGCUAGCGUUGUUCGGAAUCAUUGGGCGUAAAGCGCACGUAGGCGGUCUCGUAAGUCGAAUGUGAAAUCCCUGGGCUUAACUCAGGAAGUGCAUCCGAAACUGCAAGACUAGAGUCCCGGAGAGGGUGGUGGAAUUCCUGGUGUAGAGGUGAAAUUCGUAGAUAUCAGGAGGAACACCCGUGGCGAAGGCGGCCACCUGGACGGAGACUGACGCUGAGGUGCGAAAGCGUGGGUAGCAAACAGG